ACGGCGCCCCGAGGAGCAACAAUGGAGGAGAGCACAGCCGGAGGAGGGGGACGAAGAGGCGAACGUUCGAGAAGAACAGCCGACAGAAACACAAGACAAAAACAAAGCGAGCGAUGUGAGCCCGGCUUCGCGUCGAAGGGAGAAGAACACUAACGGGUAGCAGGUUCGAGGCGGGGUGGAAGAAAUUUCUAGAAGGGCACUUUACUGACGGUCACUGGAACUUUCUAUGAAGAUUGAUACGGCUCCAGAGAGGAGUUAAUCAUAGGAUAUAAUCCUUAAAGGCGCGAGAGUCUUAAAGUAAUCGUCGUUCACAGGCAAAUGUUAUAUGUUGCCUGAACUGCUAAUUCCUUCAGCAGCUUGUAUUUACUCCAGAUUCCAGCUUCUGGACCUCCAGAUGCAUAAUUUCCAGCAAUAAUUUUCCUGCAAUAAAGGUGGUGUCCGUCGUUAAGUAUCCCCAUCAACCAGGACAUGGCCUCUUCUCGUUUCUACCAUCAGGGAGGAGGUACAGAAACCUGAAGGCACAUCCUCAGUGAUUCAGGAACAGCUUCUUCCCCUCUGCCAUCAGAUUUCUGAAUGGGCAUUGAACCCAUGAACACCACCUCACCACUUCUUUUAUUUCUAUUUUUGCACUGCAUAUUUAAUGAUUUUAUAUAUAUACUUAAUGUAAUUCAUGGUUCUUUUUUCUAUUAUUAUGUAUUGCAUUGUACCUCUGCCGCAAAAUUAACAGAUCUCACAGU